rnacentral:rRNA from 1 species
AGAGUUUGAUCCUGGCUCAGGAUAAACGACUGGCGGCGCACAUAAGACAUGCAAGUCGAACGGACUUAACCAUAGUUUACUAUUGGAGCGGUUAGUGGCGGACUGGUGAGUAACACGUAAGCAACCUGCCUAUCAGAGGGGAACAACAGUUAGAAAUGACUGCUAAUACCGCAUAUGCCUAAGUACCACAUGGUACAAUAGGGAAAGGAGAAAUCCGCUGAUAGAUGGGCUUGCGUCUGAUUAGAUAGUUGGUGGGGUAAAGGCCUACCAAGUCAACGAUCAGUAGCCGGACUGAGAGGUUGAACGGCCACAUUGGGACUGAGAUACGGCCCAGACUCCUACGGGAGGCAGCAGUCGGGAAUAUUGCGCAAUGGAGGAAACUCUGACGCAGUGACGUCGCGUGCAGGAAGAAGGUUUUCGGAUUGUAAACUGCUUUAGACAGGGAAGAAAAAGGACAGUACCUGUAGAAUAAGCUCCGGCUAACUACGUG